rnacentral:snRNA from 1 species
GGAUGUGAGGGUGAUCUGGCUGUGACAUCUGUCACCUCAUUGAUUGCCAAGGUUGAUUCAGCUGAUCUGGCUGGCUAGGUGGGGGCCCCCUUCCUCCCUCAAUGCUCCAUGUGUAUCCCUCCCGAAGCUGCUCAUUCAGUCAAAGAGGAUGAUCACCCCCCACAUCAGUCAAGGGUAUAUGAGUACCUGCACCCCCCUGCUAUAAUCUCCAAACAAACUCCCAAGGUCUAUUUGCACGAUAUGCCCCUGCUUAGGCUGUUUGGCUUGGGCCAGCAUAAAGCAGGCAACUCUUUUUUUAAAAAAAUAAUUUAUUUAUUUUUUGAGAAA